rnacentral:rRNA from 1 species
AUUGAACGCUGGCGGCAUGCCUUACACAUGCAAGUCGAACGGUAACAGGUCUUCGGAUGCUGACGAGUGGCGAACGGGUGCGUAAUACAUCGGAACGUGCCCGAUCGUGGGGGAUAACGAAGCGAAAGCUUUGCUAAUACCGCAUACGAUCUACGGAUGAAAGCAGGGGACCGCAAGGCCUUGCGCGAACGGAGCGGCCGAUGGCAGAUUAGGUAGUUGGUGGGAUAAAAGCUUACCAAGCCGACGAUCUGUAGCUGGUCCGAGAGGACGACCAGCCACACUGGGACUGAGACACGGCCCAGACUCCUACGGGAGGCAGCAGUGGGGAAUUUUGGACAAUGGGCGAAAGCCUGAUCCAGCCAUGCCGCGUGCAGGAUGAAGGCCUUCGGGUUGUAAACUGCUUUUGUACGGAACGAAAAGACUCUGGUUAAUACCUGGGGUCCAUGACGGUACCGUAAGAAUAAGCACCGGCUAACUACGUG